rnacentral:lncRNA from 1 species
GAAGAGAGAAGGAGGAGAAAGAGAGGUCUAGGAGGAGUGUGAGUCGAUCCGAACGGGAAGAGAAAGAUAGGCCUCGCAGAAGUAGUGACCGUGAAGAGAAAGAGAGGCCUCGCAGAAGUAGUGACCGCGAAGAGAAAGAAAGGGCUCACAGAAGUAGCGACCGCGAAGAGAAAGAGAGGCCUCGCAAAAGUAUCGACCGCGAAGAGAAGGAGAGGUCUCGCAGAAGUAGAAGCCGCUCUGAUCGUGAUAGGGAGAGGG